rnacentral:rRNA from 1 species
UACGUAGGGUGCAAGCGUUGUCCGGAAUUAUUGGGCGUAAAGAGCUCGUAGGCGGUCUGUCGCGUCUGCUGUGAAAACCUGGGGCUUAACCCCGGGCCUGCAGUGGGUACGGGCAGACUAGAGUGCGGUAGGGGAGACUGGAAUUCCUGGUGUAGCGGUGAAAUGCGCAGAUAUCAGGAGGAACACCGGUGGCGAAGGCGGGUCUCUGGGCCGUAACUGACGCUGGAGGAGCGAAAGCAUGGGGAGCGAACAGG